UUACGGUCAUAUCACAUUAAAACACCAGUUCCCGUACGAUCGCCGAAGUUAAGCUAUAUCGAGUCUGGUCAGUACCCAAAUGGGUGAUCACUUCCGAUUACUUGGUGCUGUAAG